rnacentral:misc_RNA from 1 species
CCUAGUCAUCAUCAUCUACCGCGCGGCGGGCGUGGGCGUGGGCGUGGGCGUGCGGCGCGACGACCCGAAGUGCCAGAAGGACGGCGUCCAGGUCCAGAACGGCGGCGAGCGGUUCCGGCGCUCCGGCGCGCUGGGCGGCCCGGCGUCCAGGCCCAGCAUGCCCCACAUCACCUCGACGUCGUGGUACCCGCAGGUCUGCACGUCCCUGUGGAGGUCCACGAUCCCUGCUCGCUCUGCAUCGCAGCCGACGAGCCAAGACGCGGCCCGUUGCAACGGGGGAACAGUUAGUGUUAUACUCCGCGUAGAUAGCAAACUGGUG